AUCCAUCUGACGAGUCCCAAAUAAGAUCAAACGUUUGUCCUGGAU
rnacentral:hammerhead_ribozyme from 1 species